rnacentral:rRNA from 1 species
UACGGAGGGUGCAAGCGUUAUCCGGAUUCACUGGGUUUAAAGGGUGCGUAGGCGGGCAGGUAAGUCAGUGGUGAAAUCUCCGAGCUUAACUCGGAAACUGCCGUUGAUACUAUUUGUCUUGAAUAUUGUGGAGGUAAGCGGAAUAUGUCAUGUAGCGGUGAAAUGCUUAGAUAUGACAUAGAACACCAAUUGCGAAGGCAGCUUACUAAACAAUUAUUGACGCUGAGGCACGAAAGCGUGGGGAUCAAACAGG